CUUCAGGGCAAGGUGAAAUUCCUGACCGGUGGUUAAAGUCCACGAGCAAAGCUAAAUAUAUUUUAGUUGCAUGAAACGGUGCAAUUCCGUUACCGACAGUACAGUCUGGAUGAAAGAAGU
rnacentral:ncRNA from 1 species